GACCUGCUUGGCGCGAUAGGCUUCGCCCGUGGCGCUGGUGGCGCUGUCGGCGUUGGCCAGGUUGCUGGCGGUGGUGUUCAGGCGCGCCGACUGGGCGC
rnacentral:tRNA from 1 species